GUUCCACCUGAGAUGUAUGAAAAGAGUGAAGUUCAAUGAAGUGUUUCAGUGUGACAAGACGCCUCCAUCCAUCAGCGGAGAAGAAACAAGCUGUCUUGCCACAGGAGGAGCUCAUCACACACACUCUUGUUUACGUGUGUGUGUGUUGUGUUGUCAGGACGGUGACGCUUGCCAAGGUGUUCACAGACUCUGUGGAAGGGGCUGUCACGUUAGGACGACUGACAUGACAGCUAACUUGUCUUCUGGAGGGUUCUCAAUGCCGAGAUUCUUCUCUCUUUCCUUCCAUUGGGCUGAUUUAUGUUUCCCCUUUCUUCCAUCAACACUUUAAAUGUGUUAAAAAGUGCCGUUAGGAGUGGUUGUCAUAUGACAGUCAUGUGACGCUUUAAUAGAGUAUCAAACAUUACAGUUAAACCCUUUUUAACGAUAUUUCUUCCAUGAAUUAUAGUCUUAACCCAAAAGAAGCCAAAGUGUCCCCAAAAUGGCGGCCUGUCAGGUUUUUAUAGCCUUAACCCAUAGGAAGCCAUGGUGUGUCCCCAAAAUGGCGACCUGUCAGGUUUUUAUAGCCUUAACCCAUAAGAAGCCAUGGUGUGUCCCCAAAAUGGCGGCCUGUCAGUGUUUCCAACUAUGAGGUAGAAAUGCUCAGGCUGGAUUUACACGACGCGUCAGGCUGGAAUGGAACUGGAUGUCCUCCGACACCCACGUUUGCCCGGACAACACAAAUAAACGAUGGAAAUGUCAAAUGUUGAAAAAUGAUUAGAUUUUGACAUUAAAGCUCGUUUUAAAGCCACAGUUUUCUUUCUCACCGAUAUGAUACAGAUGUACCUUAAAAUGAAAUGAUGCGUCUUCUUCUGGAUGCAUUUCAGAAAUAAACAUUGC